rnacentral:tRNA from 1 species
GCGAAUGUGAUGUAACGGCAGCAUGUGAGGCUUCCAACCUCUUCGUGCAGGUAACUCCUAUCGGAGACGCUAAACGUUUCUUUAAUGCCGAAGGCUAUACAAAUCCUGUCAUUCGCUCCA